CGUGGUUAACCUGCCCUUGGGACGGAAACACCCCCGGGAAACUGGGGCUAAUUUCCGAUAGGUGAAGACUCCUGGAAUGGAUCUUCGCCUAAAGGGCGCUUAGGCCAUGCUUCUAAGCGCUGCCCAAGGAUGGGACCGCGGCCGAUCAGGUUGUUGGUGAGGUAAUGGCUCACCAAGCCUUUAACCGGUUCGGGCCGUGGGAGCGGGAGCCCGGAGAUGGGCACUGAGACAAGGGCCCAGGUCCUACGGGGCGCAGCAGUCGCGAAAACUCCGCAAUACGCGAAGGCGUGACGGGGCUAUCCCGAGUGCCGUCCGCUGAGGAUGGCUUUUCCCCAGUGUAGAUAGCUGGGGGAAUAAGGAGAGGGCAAGUCUGGUGUCAGCCGCCGCGGUAAUACCAGCUCUCCGAGUGGUGGGGACGUUUAUUGGGCCUAAAGCAUCCGUAGCCAGCUGAGCAAGUCCCCAGUUAAAUCCAGCGAUUUAAUCGUUGGACUGCUGGGGAUACUGUCCGGCUAGGGGGUGGGAGAGGCCGACGGUAUUCCCGGGGUAGGGGUGAAAUCCUAUAAUCCCGGGAGGACCACCAGUGGCGAAGGCUGUUGGCUAAAACAUGCCCGACGGUGAGGGAUGAAAGCUGGGGGAGCGAACCGGAUUAGAUACCCGGGUAGUCCCAGCUGU
rnacentral:rRNA from 1 species